GGGUCAGUAGGUUGGUCGUGCCACCGGUACGUACUGGUCUCACUGAUUCCUCCUUCCUGAAGAACCGUAAUGCCAUUAAUUUGGUGUUGCGGGGAAACAGGACUGUUACUUUGAAGAAAUUAGAGUGUUUAAAGCAAGCUAACGCUUGAAUACAUUAGCAUGGAAUAAUGAAACAGGACGAUCGAUCCUAUUUUGUUGGUUUCUAGGAUUGACGUA
rnacentral:rRNA from 1 species